GCUGACGUAGCUCAACUGGUAGAGCAGCGCUCUUGUAAAGCGCAGGUUGUCCGUUCGAGUCGGACCGUCAGCU
rnacentral:tRNA from 1 species